UGCGCGGAGCCAUGGUCGUCCUCCGGAGCACCAAAGGCGCAGAAAACACGACCUGAGUUGUGCGGGAUUACGGGCGCGGCUCUCCGCGGCGUCCCUCCAUCCCCGGGUGUUGUAGCCGGCAGCCGGUGGCGGUCCGCCCUCGGGCUCCGCCGCCGUGCCACAACAUACCGUGAGUGUGCAGGAUGUGACCCGAAAGAUGGUGAACUAUGCCUGAUCAGGUUGAAGUCAGGGGAAACCCUGAUGGAGGACCGAAGCAGUUCUGACGUGCAAAUCGAUUGUCAGAAUUGGGCAUAGGGGCGAAAGACCAAUCGAACCAUCUAGUAGCUGGUUCCUUCCGAA
rnacentral:rRNA from 1 species